UGAGGAAUAUUGGUCAAUGGACGAGAGUCUGAACCAGCCAUGCCGCGUGAAGGAUGAAGGCGUUCUGCGUUGUAAACUUCUUUUGCGGGGGAAGAAACCUUGAUAUUCUUAUCAAGCCGACGGUACCCCGAGAAUAAGCACCGGCUAACUCCGUGCCAGCAGCCGCGGUAAUACGGAGGGUGCAAGCGUUAUCCGGAUUUACUGGGUUUAAAGGGUGUGUAGGCGGAUUAUUAAGUCAGCGGUGAAAUCUCCAGGCUCAACCUGGAAACUGCCAUUGAUACUAUUAGUCUUGAAUAUUGUUGAGGUGGGCGGAACGGGUCAUGUAGCGGUGAAAUGCAUAGAUAUGACCCGGAACACCGAUUGCGAAGGCAAUCCCCUGGGCCUGCACUGACGCUCAUGCACGAAAGCGUGGGGAGCAAACC
rnacentral:rRNA from 1 species